rnacentral:lncRNA from 1 species
UAAUUUUUCAAUCACAACUUAAUCAAUUGUGAGUCACAGUCACAAUUUUUAGGCCAUAUAUUACAAAUUGAUCAAUUAUUAAUCACAAUUAACCAAAUAAUUAGUCAUGAGCAUCCAACACAAUUUCUUCCCACCGACAACCAACGCUACAACCACCAUCACUAUCACCAUUAUCGCCACCACCACUGCAAAACAAUACAAAACCGUCAUCCAUUUGCCACUAUAGUGACCACCAUCACCACCGAAGCCAACGCCGCCACCAUCAACGUCACGGGCAGCAACACUACCUCCUGUACUAAAAAUCACAACCCCUAUCUCAAUCACACCACAUUCAACAAAAAAUGUCUAAAUCCGAUGCUGUCGCCACCACCACUUCAUCACUACCACUGCCUUAUAAACAAUAAUCACCACGACCUCCUCAAAUUCACGACAGAAAGUAGUCCAAUAGUGACGUUGUUGCCUCAUCUCUGCACACAGUGGCAGUGGGCCUCAACUAAAUCGGUAGAUCUCUUGCAGCGCUUAUCGUCGUCUCUCUAGCAGUGCUCGUCGCUGCACACUAAUUGAGCCACUGACCGCUUGUUCGACGACAACGAGCGCUUGUAGGGACGGUCAGCGAAAGUCCAUCGCCAGGUGUCGAAGUUUGAAUUGAUGAAAGGAGAGAGGAAGAAAAAAGAAAAAGCAAGCAUAUAGAGAGGGAGAGGAAAAUGAAAAUAAAUUAGGGUUGGAUAAAAUUUGUAUUAUAUUAUUUAAUAAUUAAAAUAUCUUAUUUUUGAACAAUGAAAAACCUUCGCUAUAAUUUUAGAAUAUUGAUCUUGAAAAGUAGGUGGGGAUAUAAUUUCCACAAAUAAUAAUAAUUAAAUUUGCAUUUGAAUUUUAGCCCUCAUUUGAUAACAAUUUUUCACCCCAAAAAAAUUGAUUUUUUUUUUUAUCGCUAUUUCACUAUUUCUAACAAUCAUUUUUUACUCAUUCACUUAUAUGUGGAACCCACUUUUCUCUCUAACGGUUAAAAAAUCAAUUCUCAUACUCACUACUAAACAGGUCCUUAAAAAAUUGAUUGCAUCAACAUAAUUUCUUGACUAGCUCGAUCUUGGGCAGAUUUUUAUGGCAAACGGUUUGUCCAUUUUUAUACCCCUAUCUAAGACAAAUAUUUUACCCGCCAAGUAAUCAACCCUGAAAACUAAUUGAAGUUCAGAAAAUUCUACUCGUACAUAAUUAUUACACAUAAUGAUGUCCAUAAUGUAAUGUAGCAAUCAUUUAAUUGUUGAUGUGCAAGUGUGAAAUUUGAAUUAAAGAUUAGAUCUGAUACCACAUGUAAUUAUGUACAUAUAGCACUUCUCUUGAAAUUUUGAGUCACAAUACCACCUCCAACGAAAUUAAAACCCCGUGCAUAGAUGGCCAAAAAAUAAAAAAAUUCAAAUCUCACAUACAUACCUUAAAACUCUGUAAAACUUGGCCACUUCGCAGAUUCGAAAAUGGAUUCGAAAAUAAAAAAAUUCCAAGACUUGCUCAAAAAUUUCCAGUUAUCACUUUGAAUGAGUAAUUAAAAAAGGGUCAAUUUGGCAGAAAUUAAAAUUAACAUUUUAAUAAUUUAAGCUAAAGUUAAUAAUUAAAUUUUACUAUACAUAAAGGAUCACAACUGUUCAAUCUACGUUUCAUCAACUUUUAUCAAAAUCUACUAAAAAUUUAAUUUUAAUCUCUACCAAACAAAAACUAUGUUAAAUAGACAAUAAUUACUUGAAACUUGGUAAGGGAAUAGAAUAAGAUAUACAAGAUUAACUUGGUGUGGGGUGCAAGUGAUAUUCUAAAGUAAACAAACCAGGUUGGAUUUUGUAAUAACAUGAACAAGAAUAUAUAACUAAAUGCAAAUUAGGUCCUCUCCAUCAAUCAGGCUUGCCUCUCUGGCUCUCUUCCUUCUUUUCGCCAGAGGAUUCACCUUUAACGGUUAGAUGGGAUCAUUUUUAUUAUUAUUCAUUCUACAUAAGAAAAUGUAAUACUUUAAAACCGAUAAUAUGUUUCAAAAUUCAUGAAGAAUUUGUGAAAUUUCUUGCUUGUUGUGUUAUUUUGUAGAAAUGUGAGCUAGUCUUGAGUACAAACAAAUUCGAAGAUGCUGAAGAACUGAUUCAGAAACUUAACCAAAUGAAAUAUCAAAUUAAUUUAGAGUUAAGGAAGAGAAAGGUGAGAAUCAAGAAUCAAUUUCAUUGUCUUUUCUCGUUUUUAUUCUACUAGAAUGAUUUUUUUAUGAAAUUUCUUGUUCCUGAAUCAUCAAUGAUGUUACAGUCUGAUCAAGACUAUUUCAGAACAAGGUUAGGUAGCAGAUAUAACUGGGAUAGAGUCACCCAUCUAGUGCACGGGGAAAAACACCGACUCCAUUACUUGCAAAAGAGAAUAAUAGAAGGGUAUGAUCAAAUCAUAUACCUUUUCAGUAUUAUAUUUUGUUCCUUUCCCCUUGUUGGUUUCUGAAUCAUAAAGCUGGAAACAGAUUCAACAAUUGUGUCAUUGUGUGCAACGUGGCAAUAACAGUUUAGCAGAGGAGAGGAAAAUACUGAAAAAAAUUAAGCAUGCUAAAGAACAAGAAAAGGCUUUUUCCGAUGUAGAUAUAAAACCAAGAAAGGACUAUUGCCGGUGCUUAAACAUUCCCGACUCAGAAGAAGAAGAAGUUAAAGAUCAAAUUAAUGCAAGUAUUUGCCUAACAUCAUCCUUGUAGAAUUUUCAAACUUCGGUAAAUUGAUGUAACAUUCUUUUCUUUUAGCUGCCUAAUUUAAUGCAGCUCGUACUCAGUGAACUCCAAGAGUUGAAGAAGAAACAAAAGCCAGUUGUUUUCUAUGAGGAAAAUCUUAGGAAAGAUUUGGAAGAAGCCGAAAAGGAUAUUUCUUUCUUCCGAAAACAGUUGGAAAGCAUAGACAAGAAGAAACAUGAACUCUAUGCGUACAUUCUUGAACUCAGAAAGCAAAGAGGAGGAAUUUGAGAUAUUUACCGAGAAAUCUCUGCUAAAAAAUCUCCCACGAGCCUGUUUAAACACAUUUUUGCCCAAUUAAACCACAUAUUUUUGCCCAAAUUUCAUUUUGAAAUAGCAUUUUGAUCGGAGCAUGUAAUUAAAAAUAAAAAAAAAAUUGAAUUUGCAUUUAUUAAAAUAAAUAGUUGAAAAUACAAGAGAUAAAAAUGUACUUAAAAAUAAUGAACCAAACAAAGGUUUAAAGGUUUGGUAAGCUUUGACUAACAGCCCUGCACAGUAUUUUGCAAUAACUAAUUGUUCUGAAGUUUGCAAUGUUUGAGGUUUAUAUAUUGGGUUAAAUCCACCACUGCCCACCCAAUUAUAUAUUUAGUGCCACGAACAUCUAAUUUAAUUUGGUUUCACUAUUACCAACCUCCUUUAUAUUUAAUGUCACAAUUGCCAUCUAAUUGCAUAUAAUAUUUUGAUGAAAUAAAAUCAAACUAAGUAAUCAUAGUGAUACUAAAUAUAAAAUUUAUUGACCACGAUGAAACAAAAUCUAAUUUGGUAAUUACAACAACACUAAGUAUAAAAUCCGGUGGACAUGGAUUUAACCCUUUACAUAAUUACAUUUUACAUUAGACAAAUUAUAGGUAUCCUAAAGUACUGUCCUGUCAAAAAUAAAAAGGCCAGAAAACAAUUGCAAUAUUCCCAAAUAUUAAAUAUAUAAACAUUGACGACUGAUUUUGUGAUACAAAUGGGGAAAUUAAUUGUUAUUUUAUUUUAAUUAUUAGAUAUGAAUUAAAAGAUUAACAGCAAUGCUUAUUUUGGUAAUUAGACUCUAAUGAUUUGGAUCCUAAAUAAAAGCAAAACUGAGAACAAACACAGCAAAAUUUACAUCACAUUAACUAGAGUUAAUAAAUUAAGAUUUUUCAAUUAUGAAAAAAAAAUUAUUAUUUCGAAUUAUAAACAAAUUUUUAGCUCAGCCGAAAAAAUAACCACAAAGCUAAUUAAUCCAUAAUUAAUUAGAAAAAAAUAUUAUUAUAAAUAAACAAAAAGAUUAGCGUUUAAAGUUAGGGAAGAGCAUCAAGUAUCAGAAAUAAAAUCUUGUUCUCAUACACAGCAUUGUCAUACUGUGUCAGAAGGUGUCCUAAGAUUUUCUGAUUUCAUCAUCUUGGUGAUGCACAAAGAAAUCCAACAAAUCACAAAUAAAAAAAAUAAAAUUGUUAAAAGCAUGAAUCAGAAAGAACACAGCAAAAAGGAUUAUAAUUGAUCAGAUGGGAUGAACCAUCACCUUUUACUCCUUUCAUCAUCUUCAAUAUGGGAAAACUAGUAAUCACACAUGUGCGUUUGCGUGCUCGUGUUAUAAAAAAGAAAGAAAAGCUAUUGAAACUGAAUCACGAGCUUGCUAGAGAAGAACAGGAAUUGCUCAAGUUAAAACCUAAU